GCGGCCGUAGCUCAGUGGUAGAGCGCUUGGUUGUGGUCCAAGAUGUCGUGGGUUCAAUCCCCAUCGGUCGCCCCA
rnacentral:tRNA from 2 species